GGGAGCGAGCUGAAAGAAGCAGGGCCGAAGCCGAGGGCAAGCUCUGAGGGGCUGGUGCCUGCGCUGAGCCGAAGGAGAGCCCCGGUUUGUGCUGCUCAGUGAGAGAGGGGACAGGUUCCCUUUCAGUGGUGGAAAACGGAGAGAUUUAGGAGGGGCGGUGGAGAAAAUGCUGGAGAAGUGUCUGGAGUGCCCGUGGAAGUCCUGAUUCCAUGUGUAUGUAAUGUGUGCUGCUGAGGAGGUGCAGAGCAUGGCUGGGAAGAGAUGUCCCCACCUGUUGGACUCGCAAGUGCAGCUACAGGUAUUUAUACAUGUUGAUGAAAUAUUCAGUCUUCUCUUCCUGGGCUCAACAGCAAGCACACAUGGCAUGUGAAACUAAAUCAGUGCCCGAAGGGGAGAUUCCUUCACAAACUUAUUCCACACUGAAUAGCAGAGGCAGUAUUCUUUGUGAAUGGCUGUGUCCAUUCUCCAGGCUUUCUAAGUGAUGACAUUCAAUCCUUGGUGUGUUAGACCUUGUCUGAAAUUGUUCUAUAAGUAUUAUAAUAAGUUAAAGUAGAUUCUUUUAAACCAAUCAGUUUUGAUGUAAUUAUCAUGCUGGUAUUCAUUACUCAGCAGACAGAACAGUGAAUCCCAUACAGCUUUUGUUUUCACAAAAUUUUUGUUUUUCUCUAAAUUAAAUGCCAACAUCUUAAAAUAGAUUUUCUGAGUAGCAAAAAAGAUUAUCUCUGUGAUUUACUUCUGCAUGGAGGAAGCUUUCUUCAGCCCUUUAUGGGUUCUAAAUACACCACUCUCAAUAGUGGAUAUAACAGCAGAGAGCAUUGCCCAGGUGUAAAAGACACAAACUUCUUUUUCUUCCUCCUUAAGAAAAAAUUUUCCUUCAUUGCUUCUUGAAAAUCUUCUACUACUACCAUAAUCUUGUCUGGAGUGGCAUGUCUGGUAUUUUAUUAGCAGCACAUGUACACUGUUACAGGCACAAGAGAAAGUUUUGGCACCAACAGAAACAACGCCUGUGUCUGAGAUCACAGCGUGACAAACUAAAUUGCCAGGCAUGGAGUCUGGAGCAAAUCUUUGUUCUGUAUGUGCUUUGGUCUUGUAAAAGAAUUAGCAUGUAAGUUGUUGCACAGAACUCAUGGAACAGAGACUGCAAAUUUGUGACCUAACAUUGGGCUCUGACUGCAUGAAGGAUUACCUGAAGCACAUCUCUGCAGUGGCUGAAAUGCAGAUUUACUGCAGCUGCUGUCUGCAUCUUGUCCUGCAAAAUGAAUCAAUCAGUGGGCC
rnacentral:lncRNA from 7 species